GGCUGUGCGGCCAUCUGGCUGUGACAUCUGCCACCCCACUCAUCCCCAGGUUGAGUGGGAUGAUCCGGCUGGCUAGGAAGGUGUCCCCUUUCUCCCUCAGCACUCCCUGCGUGUCCCUCCCAAAGCUACGUGCUCUUUCAAAGAGAACAGCCACUCCCAUAGAGAGGACCGUCUCCCAGUGAAGGGCACGCCAGGAGCUGACCUCCUCUAGACAAGCUCUUCAGACUGCUCAGUAUAAGAGGAUUUCU
rnacentral:snRNA from 1 species